UUCAGGCCUCUCAGAGCCGGGCUGACGUCAGUCCUCCGAAAGGGGGGGAAGGCGCAGGAGCACAGAGAAGGGAGCCAGAGCGUCCCUUUUUGACGUAAGGGGCGGGGAAGAGGAGCGCGCAGGCGUCUAAAGACGAUUUGCCCGAAGAGGUACAGAAAGGAUUGAGAGCUCGAAGGGCCUCCACUUCCGGUUCAGAUUAAAACCAUCUGAGGGGCCCAGAGGAUGAAGAGAAAGCAGCCUUGAGUCGACGAGAAUCUUCAGUACUUUCUUUAUCGCCUUUUCUUUGUAACUCCAGUGCAUUCCUAGCGUUCUGGAUCCGCACAAAGAGGAUUCUUAGGAGCUGCGUUCGAGAGCCGGAAAUCGAUUACAGAACUCAUCGGUUCGCAUCUCUUCCGUCCUCCUCUUAUUUCCCCGCCCACUUUGUUUAAAUUGCCGGACAUUGAUUGGCUCUUUCCUUCCAGGCUCCGAGGUUUCUCUGCUUUGGGCCGCUAGAGGGCGCGGGAAGGGCGGCGACCUCGAGGCGCGCGUCGAUGAGGUCACCGCGCGCCCAGGGGUGGAGAGGCGCCUUCGGAGGAGGAGAAGCCGGGCGAGCUCUCGCGGUCCGGGCGCCGUGGCCGUCGGAUCGGUCGCCAUCCCGGGCGAGGAGCCCGUGUCCGCGGCCCGGCGGGGGACGGGAACGUCUUGAGAAGAGUGCCUGGAAUAAAAAUAAAAAAUUAUAUAUGUCAGAAAUGCACAAUCCCUAGGAAGCGAUGUGGCUGCGAAGUUUCAGGACGAGAGUUCGAGGAGCGACGCCUGUGGAGGCAUCAGCCCAAGGUUGUGCACGGUGCCAGAGGGACCGUCAGCGCAGCUCAGAGGGUUCAGGGGCCGUCCCUUGUGCUCCGCAGCUCUGGGCAAAAGGCACACAUCUGGCUGAUCCCUGCUUUGAGCCUCCAAGUGGCCUAAGUUCAAGAUGUGAGGUGAACAGGCUCAAACAGCGCUGAAUGAGGAAACAGUGGUUGCAGCCCUUGUGGGAAAUGCUCCGGGAAAAGUUCCUGCUUGACGGAUGCUGAAUCAGCCUGGUGUUCUUCCCCGCCAGGUCUGAUGGGUCGUGAAUUCCAGCUUGGGGAAAGGUUGCCUGCAAAGAGGAAGCUACUGAACAGCGUGGGUGCUUCCCCCAGCUGCCGUGUCUGGCACCCUCCUCCACCUGCUGGGGGCUGCAUGGCAGGGCUGUGGUCGCGUUCCUUCAUCACGUGCCAGCUCAUGGAAGUCUCUUGUUUCUUUCUGACUCAGUCUGAGCAGGAUGCAAAAGUCACAUCUGCUGGAAAGAGGAAGUUUCUGCUCAGCUAGCUGCUCAGCUAGCCUCAAAAUUCACUUACUAAAUAUGCAGAUCAAAUUG